GUACGCGAGCUGGGUUUAGAACGUCGUGAGACAGUUCGGUCCCUAUCUGCCGUGGGCGCUGGAGAAUUGAGGGGGGCUGCUCCUAGUACGAGAGGACCGGAGUGGACGCAUCACUGGUGUUCGGGUUGUCAUGCCAAUGGCACUGCCCGGUAGCUAAAUGCGGAAGAGAUAAGUGCUGAAAGCAUCUAAGCACGAAACUUGCCCCGAGAUGAGUUCUCCCUGAGACUAUAAGUCUCCUGAAGGAACGUUAAAGACGAUGACGUUGAUAGGCCGGGUGUGUAAGCGCAGCGAUGCGUUGAGCUAACCGGUACUAAUGAACCGUGAGGCUUAACCUUACAACGCCGAAG
rnacentral:rRNA from 1 species